UACGAAGGGGGCUAGCGUUGCUCGGAAUCACUGGGCGUAAAGCGCACGUAGGCGGACUCUUAAGUCGGGGGUGAAAGCCCAGGGCUCAACCCUGGAACUGCCUUCGAUACUGGGAGUCUUGAGUGUGGUAGAGGUUGGUGGAACUGCGAGUGUAGAGGUGAAAUUCGUAGAUAUUCGCAAGAACACCAGUGGCGAAGGCGGCCAACUGGACCAUUACUGACGCUGAGGUGCGAAAGCGUGGGGAGCAAACAGG
rnacentral:rRNA from 1 species